CAACAGCCCUCUGGGAGGGCAAGUGGAAGAGUGAGUAGAUCAGCUGGAUAGGAGUGAGGAGUUGGAGGAAGGGUUGGGGUAUGGCCAGUGCAGUUAAGUGACUUGCCUUAGUGCACACCCCCAGAAAGUGACAGCACCAGCAUUUGAACCCUGACACAAGCAUCUCCAAAACUGCAUUCUUCCCACUGUGCCACAGUUAAGAUGAGUCCACCAGCCCUGUUUAGACUUUGGUGUUUGAACUGCGUUUUGAAGGCAAAGAAGUCAGAUAGACAAAUGAAAGAGAGGGAAAAGGCACUCCAGGUAGCAGGAACAGCAUGUGCAGAAUCAAAGAGGCAUGAAGAAAACUUAAAAUGUAGUCUUCCAAGUCAUGUACCCUAGAACUUAAAGUAUAAUAAAAAAAUAAACAUAGAAAAAUAAAAUAAAAUAAACUUUUAAAAAA
rnacentral:lncRNA from 1 species